UCUUCAGGCGAACAUUGACAUCGAAGUGAUACCCUAUGAUAUCAAGAAAAAUCCUAUGGAACAAAGAAGCAGAUAAUGAUCACAGAAGUGCAACAAAGAGCACCAGGACCUGAUCAUCAAAUGUUAUGAUGUAGAUCUAAUCAGGAACAAGACACCUAAGUUGAACUCUGGCAAGGUUGUCCCAUGCAGAAGGUUUGAUACCCAGGCUUCUUUUGUACAAGUCCCUAGUCCACCCUCAUCUUGAGAACUGUUCCGGUGUCUGGGAUCCCUACAACAUCUCAGAUGUCCAGGACGCUACUUCACAAUGGGGACCACAAGAGAAGCAGCAGUUUGACUGAGAUGAUCAGCACCUUUUAGUUGCCUACUAUAUCUACAACUACAAGGCACUCUGCAAGAAGACUGGGAAUGGUGCACAAGAUAGUCAAUGGUCUCUCCGCUCUUCCUUGAAAAUUUUCCCACUGCACUACUUAUAGCUACUUGCGCCCUCUAUAUAGCAAACAAUGCCUAAUCUGUGCCUGUUGGUCCCCCAUGAUCCUCUUUUUCUUAUAUUAAUUGAGAGCUGAUUUGAUGAGAUAACCACCUGUCAGUGACCUUGCAGGGUGGUCUUAUCCCCCUGGCCAAACUAGUACAGACAGGCUUUAACAAAUCAUGAGCAGGAAGUACCAUGACAUGACCCUCCAGUUGCACCAAGCCAGAAGCGACAUAGGUAGACAAGUUUGUAUUUGCCCAACACUCUGUCCCAAAGUUAAUGGAACUGACUUCCAGCAAAUAUAGUGCAUGCUGACAGUCCAGAGAACUGCCAGGAACUACUUCUGAGGCAUAUACUCUCCUUAUCCCACUUAGAAACAAUCUG